AGGUGUCUUCAGAGGCAGGGUGAAAUUCCCGACCGGCGGUGAAAGUCCGAGAGCUGCUAUUGUAUAUAGUGGUUGAACUGGUUCGAUUCCAGUACCGACAGUAUAGUCUGGAUAAAAGAAGAUGAGC
rfam:Lactobacillus salivarius TCC118, complete genome.